CCGACCUGAGAGGGUGACCGGCCACAUUGGGACUGAGAUACGGCCCAGACUCCUACGGGAGGCAGCAGCUGAGAAUCUUCCACAAUGGACGAAAGUCUGAUGGAGCGACAUCGCGUGAGGGAUGAAGGCCUUCGGGUUGUAAACCUCGGAAAUUAUCGAAGAAUGAGUGACAGUAGAUAAUGUAAGCCUCGGCUAACUACGUGCC
rnacentral:rRNA from 1 species